rnacentral:tRNA from 1 species
AGAAGUGGUUUAUCAAAUAAUGAACUUCUAACUCAUUUAAUUAGUGGUGAAACCCCAUUGACACUUCUA